rnacentral:rRNA from 1 species
UACGUAGGGGGCAAGCGUUGUCCGGAUUUAUUGGGCGUAAAGAGCGUGUAGGCGGCUUGGUAGGUCCGCUGUGAAAACUCGGAGGCUCAACCUCGAGAUGUCGGCGGAAACCACUUGGCUAGAGUCCGGAAGAGGAGAGUGGAAUUCCCGGUGUAGCGGUGAAAUGCGCAGAUAUCGGGAAGAACACCUAUGGCGAAGGCAGCUCUCUGGGACGG